GAUGAACGCUGGCGGCGUGCUUAACACAUGCAAGUCGAACGAUGAAGCCCAGCUUGCUGGGUGGAUUAGUGGCGAACGGGUGAGUAACACGUGAGUAACCUGCCCUUAACUCUGGGAUAAGCCUGGGAAACUGGGUCUAAUACCGGAUAGGAGCGUCCACCGCAUGGUGGGUGUUGGAAAGAUUUAUCGGUUUUGGAUGGACUCGCGGCCUAUCAGCUUGUUGGUGAGGUAAUGGCUCACAAAGGCGACGACGGGUAGCCGGACUGAGAGGGUGACCGGCAAAACGGGGACAGAGAAACGGCCCAGACUGAUACGGGAGGAAGGAGUGGGGAAUAGUGCACAAUGGGCGCAAGCCUGAUGCAGCGACGCCGCGUGGGGGAGGACGGCCUUCGGGUUGUAAAACUAUUUCAGUAGGGAAGAAGCGAAAGUGACGGUACCGGCAGAAGAAGCACCGGCUAACUACGU
rnacentral:rRNA from 1 species